UUCUGUUGUUGCUUAGAGACGAGACCAAGUGAUGCUGCAGAGGAGGGACGCUGGUUUGAACCCGGGUUCCGCAAAUACCCGCCGAUGGGUGGGCUGGUUAGGAGGAUGCGGCCCGUGUCCCGCAGCCUUCGGCGCUGCCUGGUGAAAACACACUGCUCACAUCCACCCCUAACGUCUGUGUGAUUCAGCACAUAGUAAUUUGGAAGCAAAAUCUGAAGAAAGGCUUGGUUCUCCAGGACGCUGGGAUCCCCAAGUGGAGGAGAGAGAGCAAUCCAGGUUUCCAAAACAGACGAUGAUAUAGCCAAAAACACUGCCCACCUUGAAGAACAAGUUCACCCAGCAGAGAGUUUCACCCUCACAUGGCUGCGCUAGAGAUCAGUUUGUCUGUGUCACUUUUCAACAUCAUUUUGACCCAGGAAUUGAGCUAAUCGUGGGAUAAAGCAUGCAAUUUCCUGGCCAGAAGACCAGGCAGACACGCAGGACACAAGACAGAGGAUACCCCACACCAGGAAUGAACUUUAGUGUCCUAAAAAUGACACGAGAAGCCUUAUAAAUGCUUUAUUUGAGGCUACACCUGGCCCUGGACUUCGUAAAUUAGAGCAAAAUACUGAAAUCCUCACUGUGAAGUACCUGUGAGUGGGGUCAGUGGAGAAGGUGAACAGACUUCCUGGUUUACUCCCAGUUUCUUGUACCUUUCUGGCUAAAUACGUGUGUGUCCUGGAGUUCUUGUUUUAAUUAACUAUCGUUAUGACUAGUUGCAUUAAAAUAAGCCAGCAUGGGUAUAGGUGAUCACCUGGUGCUGUUCUUUUACGGUCUCCUCCUGGACUGUGUGAGACACAGGUGAGGUGGAAAGAGUUUAACACUUUGCAGGUGGCUAUAUCUGUACCUUCGGGAUGAGCUUCUCUCUCCCCAAGCUGUUCUCUGCCCAAGUCCUCCAUAGGACAGUUUAGGUCAGUGAUGGCAAACCUUUCGGAGCUUUCCAUGAUAACAAACAGCCCACUGCGGCACUCGUGCCACCGGUUGGCCACUCUGGAUUAGGGCGUGCUGGCUGAUAAAACAAAGUGGGGCCCCCUACAGGUGACUGAGAAGCUGACUUCCGGUGCCGCGGGGAAAGGGUUUGCUGCCCCUGGUGGCCACCUCAGGCCAAGGUUAGAAGUGAAAAAUUACAAAUUCAGGGAAAUGUAAACUGUACCCAGGAAGAGAAGGUGAAACGCACUUUCUAGAAAGUUUAUGCAAACAGUUAAUGUGAACAAUGCUGCUAACAUGAGUUUGUCACAUACCGGCUGGAAUAAACCUACAAGCAUUUAUUUUUUGGU